UAAUUAAAAAAUGUUGCAUCGUUUGUCUUGCUUCGUGUUUCUUUGUAUAAUUUCAGACGGACUUACACAAUCAAGCGCUGGCACGGACAUCCCGCGAGACAAAAGAUUUCUUUAAAAAAUGCCACAAAAGAGACUGUAGCACGAAUCACUGCCACUGCACUACAUCAGCGGAAGAGAAAGACAUUGCGCAGCUGAGUCCCUUCUGGCCGCGGAAACUCUCUCACGCUGCUGCCACCACGAGAGAAAAACAGGAAAUUGCACAACCUGGACGCAGGAGAUCGUGCACAUGCUGACCCACGGGUGCCAGGAGUCCAAACCUGAGGAUGGCACUCUGGAGACCCGAUUCCAUUCCUUUUGG